UUACGGCCAUAUCACGUUGAAACACCGGUUCCCGUACGAUCACCGAAGUUAAGAAACGUUGAGCCUGGUAAGUUACCUAGAUGGGUGACCGCUUGGGAAUACCAGGUAC
rnacentral:rRNA from 1 species